UUUAGUUUCAUUCUAGGGGGAAAGAGAAAAAAGAAAAGCAAAACUGGGAAUUUCCCCGGCCGUCGCCGCGGGGAUAUAAGGGCAGCGGCAAGCGCCGCGCACUGCUGGAGCGGAGGCGACGCGGCUGGGAGCGCGGAGCGAGCGGAGCCGAGCCUUGCUGACCACCACACUUUCAGGAUCUGCAGCACUUUGAUGAAGAGAGGGGAGGAAAAGCACCCUUGGCUAUGAGAAAGUGAGAAGGGCAUGUUGCCCACCUGCAGUCUUUCCUUACUGCCUGGAGUCAGAAGGUGCAGAGAUCAUCAGACUUCCGCUGAUAAUUUUGGUGUCCAGCGAUGUUGGGAAGAAGGAUAAAGGGCAGGAGGAAGGAGUUUAGAGAGAGAGAAAAUGUACAACCAAAAAAUAUACAGGUGAGGUGACAGACUGGACUGAAAAACAUUGAGGCCCAGGACACUGAAAUACAACAAUCAAGACAAGAAGUCACAAAGAGGUUAAAAGAGGAAAAGAAAAUUCUUCUGGUUGGUAAGACCGGAGAAGGAAUUACAUACCAUCUGCUCUAGAGAGACUCAAAUAGCUCACAGAAGAUAGCUUGGUGUGUAUCAAUCUAAGGAAUGAACUUCUGAACAUGUUCUGGAGGUACAGUUUUAACAAAUGCAGACAUGAACUUCCUAGACUGAAAGUGAUUUUCUGUUGAAUACUAAGAGGAAUAAUAAUAGUUGGGGAGGAUGGCAAUGCUGGUCCUCCCUGUGGUUUGGCUGGCUGCAGAGACACUGAUAAACGAUGAUGGACAGAUUGUCAUAUCUAUCUCUAUCGUUAGGGGGAAAGCCACAGCUAAAUAGAUUUUUGGUAUUAGCAUUCAGUUAAGUGGCAAAAUGAAAAAAAACUUUAGGACAGAUGCCCCAAAUAUUACAGGAAAACAGGUUUUUACCACAGUUUAGGAUCAAAUGAAAAGUCACUUUGGCAAGUAAAUAGUGUUCCCUUGAAGCAAAUGUUAAAAUAAAAAAAAUGUAUUUCACAUGGCAGUUUGUCUUAUUUCACCAAAGUAUCUGAGAAGGCAAAUGACCCUGGAAGAAUGCCUUAUUUGACUUAAUGGUAAUAGCAGAGAGUAGAAAAGGUUGUAGAACCUUGCAGAGGAGCUGUGGGCAUACUUAUUCCUCAUUCUUUCAUCCUAGAAGGAAAAAGAAGAAUGAAACAACCAAGAAACUGAGUGAGAGAGGGAGAUAAAAGAGCUGGCAGAUAAAGCCUUGAGGUAGCAAAUAAUCCUCUGAGCAAGCAUUGAACAGCUGCACACAUGCUUUACAUAGAGCCAAACCUAUGGUAACAAAGAAGCUGAAGGGAAAU